rnacentral:rRNA from 1 species
GAUGAACGCUGGCGGCGUGCCUAAUACAUGCAAGUCGAGCGAACGGACGAGAAGCUUGCUUCUCUGAUGUUAGCGGCGGACGGGUGAGUAACACGUGGAUAACCUACCUAUAGGACUGGGAUAACUUCGGGAAACCGGAGCUAAUACCGGAUAAUAUUUUGAACCGCAUGGUUCAAAAGUGAAAGACGGUCUUGCUGUCACUUAUAGAUGGAUCCGCGCUGCAUUAGCUAGUUGGUAAGGUAACGGCUUACCAAGGCAACGAUGCAUAGCCGACCUGAGAGGGUGAUCGGCCACACUGGAACUGAGACACGGUCCAGACUCCUACGGGAGGCAGCAGUAGGGAAUCUUCCGCAAUGGGCGAAAGCCUGACGGAGCAACGCCGCGUGAGUGAUGAAGGUCUUCGGAUCGUAAAACUCUGUUAUUAGGGAAGAACAUAUGUGUAAGUAACUGUGCACAUCUUGACGGUACCUAAUCAGAAAGCCACGGCUAACUACGUGCCAGCAGCCGCGGUAAUACGUAGGUGGCAAGCGUUAUCCGGAAUUAUUGGGCGUAAAGCGCGCGUAGGCGGUUUUUUAAGUCUGAUGUGAAAGCCCACGGCUCAACCGUGGAGGGUCAUUGGAAACUGGAAAACUUGAGUGCAGAAGAGGAAAGUGGAAUUCCAUGUGUAGCGGUGAAAUGCGCAGAGAUAUGGAGGAACACCAGUGGCGAAGGCGACUUUCUGGUCUGUAACUGACGCUGAUGUGCGAAAGCGUGGGGAUCAAACAGGAUUAGAUACCCUGGUAGUCCACGCCGUAAACGAUGAGUGCUAAGUGUUAGGGGGUUUCCGCCCCUUAGUGCUGCAGCUAACGCAUUAAGCACUCCGCCUGGGGAGUACGACCGCAAGGUUGAAACUCAAAGGAAUCGACGGGGACCCGCACAAGCGGUGGAGCAUGUGGUUUAAUUCGAAGCAACGCGAAGAACCUUACCAAAUCUUGACAUCCUUUGACAACUCUAGAGAUAGAGCUUUCCCCUUCGGGGGACAAAGUGACAGGUGGUGCAUGGUUGUCGUCAGCUCGUGUCGUGAGAUGUUGGGUUAAGUCCCGCAACGAGCGCAACCCUUAAGCUUAGUUGCCAUCAUUAAGUUGGGCACUCUAAGUUGACUGCCGGUGACAAACCGGAGGAAGGUGGGGAUGACGUCAAAUCAUCAUGCCCCUUAUGAUUUGGGCUACACACGUGCUACAAUGGACAAUACAAAGGGCAGCGAAACCGCGAGGUCAAGCAAAUCCCAUAAAGUUGUUCUCAGUUCGGAUUGUAGUCUGCAACUCGACUACAUGAAGCUGGAAUCGCUAGUAAUCGUAGAUCAGCAUGCUACGGUGAAUACGUUCCCGGGUCU